ACCCAGAAAUCAGCAGAAACAUAUCACUCCUGCCUCCUGGUGAGUCAUCCUCCCAGCCAAGGGCAGAUGAGAAUUAUGGCACUGGCCCAGAAGCAAUAGAAAAGCCAGAGGCUGAGGAGCAGGGGGGUCACAGGUCUCUGAUGUUCCUGUCCACAGUCAGUUCCUGACCACAAGAAGUGAGAGACAUGAACAAGGAUAAAGCAGUCAACCUCCCUUUGGACGGGUCACCGAUGAAGCUGAAACAGUCCUUUGUCCUGUCCUCACUUAAGCGCAGAUGGUAUCUACCUGGGAUUCACUUGUGGUUAUGAACACUGACUUUGGACUUCCGGUCUCAUCCCUCCUUCAGUCCAGCGGAUUUUCAGGGGUCUGUGGGAGAGGCAAGUGCAUUUUGCCCAUGGAAAGGAUUCGCAGUGUGCAGAACGUUUUUUGGAAGAUGCCUCCUCCCCAUUUCGUCUUCUACAGCGUGGCUUUCAUGCUGGUGUCCAGACAUGGGGCCUGACACUCCUGCCACCUUGUCGCCACAGCCUCAGAUUCGGAAGACAGAGAUGCUUCAGCUUUGGUUGCCCAAAAGUUGUGCUUAGAGUCUUGUGCCACCUCCAGCCGUGUCCUGAGGCUGCUCUUGCAUGAAGAAGCCACAUGGACAGGUUAUCUGCAGGCUGUUUGACCAGCGGUCCUGAGCAUCAAGACCUACUAGACAGUGUGCCGGAUGUGAGUGACUGCAGUCUCCAGCCACAAAGUGUCCUUGGUCCACUAGGCCACCCCCAGCUUCCCUAGGUGAGACCUCAGACACCGUGUGUACAGGCAGGCUGUUCACACUGUGUUCCUUCCAAACCCCAUACUUCAGAAUCCCUGUGUAUAAAUUUGAGGUAUUUUGUUAAACAGUAACCAGGAGAGCUAUGUGGCCACUACACACUGACAUCUGUGGAACUUGGAACUAUUUUAAGCAAAGCCCAGGGAAACUGGCAUAAAAUAUUUAUGGUAUAGCAAACAGAACAAGAAAGAGAUGGGACUAUUGGGACACAGGCAGGGAAUACUGGUUGGGAUCGAGGUAGGGCAACAAUGGUUUGAAUUGGGCCUAGGGCAGAGGCUAGGUGUAACUAGAAAAUGCCUUUCGAGCAAGAAUGUCCAGCUCAGGGCUGAGAGCUGACGAGAUCUGUUUGGACAGCAGAUGCUUUUGGCUGACCCAUAAGACACUGACUUCAUUCCUCUCCCUGUGAUUAUAAAACAAAAACAAUAAAAAAAUCUAUGUUUGAAAAACCAACGUCUGACCCAGAAAAGAACAAAGAAAAGGAAGACAGUCCAGUAAGAGCAGCGGCCUUGCAUAUGGUGGAGCAGGAAGAAGGCCAAGUGUAGAGCUCUAAUUAAACCAUCGGACCACUAGCACCCAGCCCAGCCUUUGGGAGAGUGGAGGCCUGGAGGCCUCUCUCCAGCUCAGAGCUGACGGGCAGUACUGAGAAGCAAUGGGAAGACAGCCUGGAGAAGCACAGAACAUGAGUGGUCACCAAGCUCUGAAGAUCCCAGACAACGUCUACUCUUGAGGUGACCAUAAGCCUAAUGCUGAAAUGAACUUUAGGGAGCCACUCCCUGAGGAAACGGAAACACAGGACCCACGGGUUCUGAGAAGGCUGAUGAGGUCAACAGAGCCGGGCACAGACAAGGUGGAAGGAAACUCAGUGUCCUCCCUUCUUCCCUUCUUCAUCUUUCCUUCCCCUUCUUCCCCUUUUCUCCCUUCUUUCCCUCUUCUCUCAUUGUAUGGAAAAGUUCCACAAAGCCUGAACCCCAGGACACCAUUGCUAAACUCUGCAGUUACACAGAAGAUAUGCAUCACUCCCUGGAAGGAAGGGUCCGGGUGACACAGAGAACACCUAUAUACAACACCCUGUGCUAAUGGAGCAUCUAGAGCUAAGUACUAGGCAGGCCUGGACCGUGACCAGUUCUGGCGCCCACAGACUAUGAGAAAACAAGCUAUCAUCUAGAGGGGACAAAACACACAGUAACACAAGGAACAUCAUAAUUAGGUCUACAUCUUGGAGAGAAUGGCAAAGCCGGAGAGAACUCUUCUGUAGGAAUUCCUACCACGGGUAGCCUUUAAGUUACCAGCCCACUUGGGCAUGGCCUCUUAGACUAUUUAUGCCCAUGUAAAGCACACAUCAGGCCUCUUUUCUGGCUGCGGGAUUCGGUUGCUGUUCUCCAUUCCAGUAGAGGAUUGUGAUUUGAGUCUACCCCUUAAUAAAUAACCAUCUAUUAUUCUCAA